ACGCUCCUCCACGCGCUACCUACAGUGGCGGGGCGUGGGGACCACGCGCCGGCGGCGACCUCCUCCGAUGACCACCAAACUCCGGCACUAGCAUCUACACAACAAGCCCAAACAACUUCCAAACUACAACAUCAUCCAAUUUUACCUCGAAGUGGCCGAAUCAAGCCGGUGAAGGAAAGCCCCGAAGCUUCAAGAACCCUAGAAAUGAAAAAUUGUCAAUUCGACUUCUACAAUAC
rnacentral:lncRNA from 1 species